rnacentral:lncRNA from 1 species
AAAAAAAAAUAAGAACAAAGAAAGCAAAACGAAAAUGAAAAUAAAAGGAUGCCCGAAUUUUCAAAUCCCUGGAAGACCUGUUGACUUGAUACCUUGUAGAUGAUUCUUGUUAAGACAAUUUAACCAUCAAACACUUAUUUGGGCCUUCAUUAUCCAUUUCUUUCAAAACCCUUAGCCCCUAGCCACGAUACAAGCCAAUUAAAGUCCACGCCGACUGAAGACUGUUUAUCGUGAUCUUUCUCACAAACUUAACUCUAGAACAAAAUGAUGUGGGGAAUGACGCGAUCACUUGGAAAAAAAUAAUAUAAAAAAAAACAUAGAAAAAGAAAAGACAGAAAGAUGAGAAGUCUCCCCGUCAAUCGAGAAUCACCAAAUGGGGGAAAUCCUUCCUACCCAAACCCUUCCACCUCUCCAAAACGUACUUACUGUGCAAAAUUGGAGCAGUGUUGUGAGCCCAGCAUGUUAACAACACUUCCUCCCAGAUAAAAGACACACAAAUAUAAUUUUGCUCACAGAUAAUCAUUUUGCCAUCCACCUUUCAUACCCACUCCCCACACCUUCAAGCGUCCAAGCUAGUUUGAAUUGCAAAAAGCGAUAAAGGGAAUUUGAACCCCUGGUUAGGCUCUUUUCCUUCCCAUCAGGGGACUCACUAUCUCUUGACAUAAUUUUCAAUGAAUGCAUUUUGAAUGUACAUC